CCCUUAGAUGUUCUGGGCCGCACGCGUGCUACACUGAGUGGAUCAGCGGGUCAGGUUGCGCGAAAGCGUUUCCUAAUCUUUAAAUCCGCUCGUGAUGGGGAUUGACGGUUGCAAUUUUCUGUCAUGAACGAGGAAUACCUUGUAAGCGCGGGUCAUCAUCCCGCGCUGAAUACGUCCCUGCCCUUUGUACACACCGCCCGUCGCUCCUACCGAUUGAGUGGUCCGGUGAGGUUCGUAGACCUCGUGAUCGCGGAUCACUGGGGGAAGCAAAAUGAACCUCGCGGUUUAGAGGAAGGAGAAGUCGUAACA
rnacentral:rRNA from 1 species